UCUCUAAACAGGCACAGUGUAGACUAAGGGCUAAGCUACACCAGGCGCGUAACUGAAGCGUUCCGUUCGUGUUGCGUCUGCUGCAACAAUUAGAAUACAUUGUAAUCAAUGGAGGUAGCUACACCAGACGUGACAGUGGGGCGUAAGCGCUGAGUAUAUACGUGCUGAAAACGCAAAAAUAGACUAGUCUUCUAUUUUUUUUUUUUUUUACGCGAGGUAUGCGCGGCCCUUUUACAGACUAGGCUACUACAUAAAUAUAUAUAUAUUAGCAAGAACCAGAUUAGUUUAAACCAAAGAUCUGUAAUAUUUGGUUUGAACGCCCUCAAGACUUGUUAACGUUACCAUGGAGAUACAUGUUUCGGUUAUUCAGUUAUUGAGGUAACGUUAGAAGCUAGCCUACAUUAUAAGGAUGGAUGAUGCAUUAAUUUGUGAAGUGGAACUAAACCCAUUACUGUAUGACCCACGUGACUCUAACUACAAGGACAACUUCAAAAAAGAUGCAGUAUGGAGGAAGAUUUCACUGGCAGUCGGAGCUUCAGCUGAGGAUUGCCAAGAACGCUGGAAAUACUUAAGAGACCGAUUCGUAAGAGA